GCCGGGUGUGGUGGCUCAUGCCUGUAAUCCUAGUACUUUGGGAGGCUGAGGCAGGCGGAUCACCUGUGGUCAGGAGUUCGAGACCAGCCUGGCCAACAAGGUGAAACCCCGUCUCUA
ensembl:misc_RNA Metazoa_SRP Metazoan signal recognition particle RNA